UCUGAGCCACUCAGCUGUACUUUUUCACCUCUCUCCUAGCAGUUCCUCAGUGGCCAGAGCUAAGCCAGGCUCCUGGGCAAAGGAGGAGAUGGGGCCAGAGCAAAGUCCUGGGGAAACAUACAAUAUGUGCAUAUAAAGAUAUGUUACAAUGGUCAAUAAACCAUCCCUCUGCACCGUACCUUGGCAGCAUCACUGCUAAACAGAAACGCUUGCUGAUUUCUGCUCCGUUAAGCACGGGAAACAUCAUCAGAGUCUGCCCAGUGG